rnacentral:rRNA from 1 species
UGGCUCAGGAUGAACGCUGGCGGCGUGCCUAACACAUGCAAGUCGAACGGAGUUAAUUUUUCAGAACUCUUCGGAGGGACGAAGCUUUAACUUAGUGGCGGACGGGUGAGUAACGCGUGAGCAACCUGCCUUUCAGAGGGGGAUAACGGCUGGAAACGGUCGCUAAUACCGCAUAACAUAUAUUUAAGGCAUCUUAGAUAUAUCAAAGCUGAGGCGCUGAAAGAUGGGCUCGCGUCCGAUUAGAUAGUUGGUGAGGUAACGGCUCACCAAGUCGGCGAUCGGUAGCCGGACUGAGAGGUUGAACGGCCACAUUGGGACUGAGACACGGCCCAGACUCCUACGGGAGGCAGCAGUGGGGAAUA